rnacentral:tRNA from 1 species
GUGGCUGUAGCUCAAUUGGAUAGAGCAUCGGUUUGUGGAACCGAUGAUUGCGGGUUCAAGCCCCGUCAGCCACC